GUUUUUCUACAAUAAGCAUGUUAGUUUUAAAAUGUGGGAAAUCCCAGUAAGUGUUAUUUUCAAGCUAAUUUCAAAAAGCCUUUAUAAAUCGUAGUCCAUAUACCCUUCCUUACCAUUAUUACCCAUGUUACUGCCAAAUACCUCUCUGUCAGUAUUAUGUGAUCUGGGUCAUAAGAAUACACACUCCAGUCUAGGAAGGCCUUCCAU
rnacentral:lncRNA from 10 species